AGUGAACGCUGGCGGUAGACCUAACACAUGCAAGUCGAACGGCAGCACAGUAAGAGCUUGCUCUUCCGGGUGGCGAGUGGCGGACGGGUGAGGAAUACAUCGGAAUCUACUUUUUCGUGGGGGAUAACGUAGGGAAACUUACGCUAAUAUCGCAUACGACCUACGGGUGAGAGCAGGGGAUCUUCGGACCUUGCGCGAUUGAAUGCGCCGAUGUCGGAUUAGCUAGUUGGCGGGGUAAAGGCCCACCAAGGCGACGAUCCGUAGCUGGUCUGAGAGGAUGAUCAGCCACACUGGAACUGAGACACGGUCCAGACUCCUACGGGAGGCAGCAGUGGGGAAUAUUGGACAAUGGGCGCAAGCCUGAUCCAGCCAUACCGCGUGGGUGAAGAAGGCCUUCGGGUUGUAAAGCCCUUUUUUUGGGAAAGAAAAGCAGCAGGUUAAUACCCCGCUGUUCUGACGGUACCCAAAGAAUAAGCACCGGCUAACUUCGUG
rnacentral:rRNA from 1 species